rnacentral:lncRNA from 1 species
AGUACAAAACUCAGUAAGCAAACUAGUUUUUCUUAUAGAAAAUACAUACAUACUUAUACAUAAUGCAAUGGAUGAUAUGCCAUGAUCUUUUGGAAAUACUGUAAAAUAAAUUCAAAAAAAUCUCUUUCUGUCACUUUCAAACUUUCUCAUUUUCUUUCGAUGAAAUAUGUAUCCUGCAAUGUGGCACUUUGUGCUGUGCGUGGCACUUUGCACCAUGCGUGGCACUUUGCGGCGCUCUGGCCCUCAAGAGGUGGCCCCCGCAUAGUCUCAAGAGGUGGCCCCCACACAACUUCAAGAGGUGGCCCCCAAUGCAAAAUCUCAUAAAACAGAAAUUCCGUUUGCUAAAAUCCACUUUCUCAUUCAUAGAAAACUCAAUGCAUUUUCGUGCUCAUGCCAAUGAACCAUCACACAUACAUAUGCCCAUGUACAUAAUCACGCCCAUUACAUAACAACACAUCACAUAAACACAUGAGCAGAGACAUAUAAAUCCAUAUUCGUACAUAUCAAAAUAGGACAUCCGCCUUGGCCGUACAGCAGAGCUCUCACCAAGAAACACCUCUUUUCUGACAAAUGCAACGUAAUAUGAUCACGUCCUGCUUAAUAACACAAAGCAUAGAGGCUGCUCUAAUACUUUUCUAACUUAGCCAAAGUUGUUGAAGAUAUAAGUACUUUUAAGUGCUCAGUAAUCUUUAUUAAAUUAGCAUGAUUGGACAUAAUUAAAAAAUGAAAAUUGAAUCAUUAUGAUGAUUGAAUUAGGUAGUUUGAUUGGUGUUAUUUUGUCUAAUUAUCAAGGAGAACAUUCAAUUAUAUACAAUAUGUCCUUCCUAUUUUCUCUUUUAAUUAAAUCAUAAAAAGACUUGCAAUAUUGAUUAUGUAUCUGUUAUGUUGGUUAUUGAAGUGAAUUAUAGUUGUUUUCGUGAUUGUCAAAUAUUGUCUUUGUAACUUAUUUAUUUUUUAUUUAUGAAAUCAAUGGGGAUUUUGCUCUUAUUGAUGGAUGUUGCUGGGUACUAAGAACUGAUGGUCGUAUUAAUUAAUCAGUAUAAGUUAGUUGAAAGUUCAAUGUUCAUGCACUUUUGAGCUACAUAAGGCAAGGAAAAUUGAGUGACUUUAUGUGAUGUAAUGUGACACUAUUCAAUUAAGCAACUCUACUUUUUAGUGAUGGACACAAAUGAAACUAGUGGACUUGCAUUAGCUAGAUGAUAAUUAAAAGGCCAAGAUUAUAUCUUUAACACCCCAGUCCGAAAUCCAAGGGCAAAUAUGUCCACAACUCACAUAUGAUUUAAAUAACUCUUUACAAACAAUAAAAUCCGAGCUUCAAAUACAAAAGCCAGCGGAAUAACUUAAAAAUUUAGCCAAACCAUCUACCAUCUUUAACUUGUCACUCAUCACGAAUCAAUCCUGGAUCUACUAUCCUCAAUUUAAAUCCAUCUUCUCACUCAUCGCGAAUCAAUCCUGACUUCUGGAAACUGAAUCACAAUAAACUAUAACGAGUACAAAACCCAGUAAGCAAACUAGUUUUUUUUAUACCAAAAUACAUCCAUACUUAUACAUAAUGCAAUGGAUGAUAUGCCAUGAUCUUUUGGAAAUAUUGUAAAAUAAAUUCAUAAAAAUCUAUUUCUGUCGCUUUCAAACUUUCUCAUUUUCUUUCGAUGAAAUACAUAUCCUGCAAUGUGGCACUUUGUGCUGUACGUGGUACUAUGCACCAUGCGUGGCACUUUGCUGCGCUCUGGCCCUCAAGAGGUGGCCCCCGCAUAGUCUCAAGAGGUGGCCCCCACACAACUUCAAGAGGUGGCCCCCAAUGCAAAAUCUCAUAAAACAGAAAUUCCGUUUGCUAAAAUCCACUUUCUCAUUCAUAGAAAACUCAAUGCAUUUUCGUGCUCAUGCCAAUGAACCAUCACACAUACAUAUGCCCAUGUACAUAAUCACGCCCAUUACAUAACAACACAUCACAUAAACACAUGAGCAGAGACAUAUAAAUCCAUAUUCGUACAUAUCAAAAUAGGCUUUUCAUACAAGUCAGACAUAUAUAUUAUUUAUUGUGAUUCGUUUUAAAGUCUAGUUCACUUACCUC